rnacentral:rRNA from 1 species
CGAAGGUGCUGCAUUGGUUGUCGUCAGCUCGUGCCGUGAGGUGUCGGGUUAAGUCCCAUAACGAGCGCAACCCCUAUCAUUUAGUUUGCCAUCAGGUCAAGCGUGGGGACUCUAAUGAAACUGCCUACGCAAGUAGUGAGGAAGGUGGGGAUGACGUCAAAUCAGCACGGCCCUUACGUCCAGGGCUACACACGUGCUACAAUGGCUGAUACAGAGGGCAGCUACCUGGUGACAGGAUGCAAAUCUCCAAAGUCGGUCUCAGUUCGGAUCGGAGUCUGCAACCCGACUCCGUGAAGUUGGAUUCGCUAGUAAUCGCGCAUCAGCCAUGGCGCGGUGAAUACGUUCCCGGGCCUU